CACUCCUGCGGGAGGCAGCAGUGGGGAAUUUUGGACAAUGGGCGAAAGCCUGAUCCAGCAAUGCCGCGUGAGUGAAGAAGGCCUUCGGGUUGUAAAGCUCUUUUGUCAGGGAAGAAACGGUGAAAGCUAAUAUCUUUUGCUAAUGACGGUACCUGAAGAAUAAGCACCGGCUAACUACGUGCCAGCAGCCGCGGUAAUACGUAGGGUGCAAGCGUUAAUCGGAAUUACUGGGCGUAAAGCGUGCGCAGGCGGUUUUGUAAGUCUGAUGUGAAAUCCCCGGGCUCAACCUGGGAAUUGCAUUGGGGACUGCAAGGCUAGAAUCUGGCAGAGGGGGGUAGAAUUCCACGUGUAGCAGUGAAAUGCGUAGAUAUGUGGAGGAACACCGAUGGCGAAGGCAGCCCCCUGGGUAAAGAUUGACGCUCAUGCACGAAAGCGUGGGGAGCAAACAGGAUUAGAUACCCUAGUAGUCCCAGG
rnacentral:rRNA from 1 species